rnacentral:tRNA from 1 species
GGAGGAUUACCCAAGUGGCUGAAGGGGACGGUUUGCUAAAUCGUUAGUCCGGGGAAACCUGGAGCGGGAGUUCGAAUCUCCCAUCCUCCGCCA